GAUGAACGCUAGCGACAGGCUUAACACAUGCAAGUCGAGGGGCAGCAUAAAAGUAGCAAUACUUUGGUGGCGACCGGCGCACGGGUGAGUAACGCGUAUGCAACCUACCUAUCAAAGGGGAAUAACCCGGCAAAAGUCGGACUAAUACCGCAUAAAACAGGGGCACCGCAUGGUGAUAUUUGUUAAAAAAAUUCGCUGAUAGAUGGGCAUGCGUUCCAUUAGGUAGUUGGUGGGGUAAAGGCCUACCAAGGCAACAAUCUGUAGCGGGUCUGAAAGGAUGAUCCGCCACACUGGGACUGAGACACGGCCCAAACUCCUACGGGAGGCAGCAGUGGGGAAUAUUGAACAAUGGGCGAAAGCCUGAUCCAGCCAUGCCGCGUGUGUGAAGAAGGCCUUUUGGUUGUAAAGCACUUCAAGCGAGGAGGAGGAGCUUCAGGUUAAUACCCUGGAUGCUUGGACGUUACUCGCAAAAUAAGCACCGGCUAACUCUGUG
rnacentral:rRNA from 1 species